ACAACCUGGAUUUUAAGGCCAGUUUUUAAGCAGCAUAUGAAAUGUUCUGAAGGUCAUACAGUCUGUAUGUACUGUGUUUCCUCUACUGCAAAGGGCCAGGCUGGCAUUCCUGGUACCGCUGGCAUCCCUGGCAAGAGGGGCUAUAGGGGCGAGAAAGGCGAGCCAAGCAUUGAGUCAAAAGGCAUGAAAGGAGAGCCAGGAUCAGCAGGAGAGCCAGGUCCUAAGGGGGACAAAGGUUACCAUGGAGAAAAGGGGGAAGUUGGCCCUGAAGGACCUGCAGGACCAAGAGGUCCUCCAGGCCCAACCGGAGAGCCCGGAAAAGCUGAACUUCAAAGCACAGAAAAUGAU
rnacentral:lncRNA from 1 species